rnacentral:rRNA from 1 species
AGUGAACGCUGGCGGCGUGCUUAACACAUGCAAGUCGAACGAGAACGGAAUAUAGCUUGCUAUAUUUGUCAGCUAAGUGGCGCACGGGUGAGUAAUGUAUAGAUAACCUGCCCUUAAGAAAGGAAUAACAGUUGGAAACGACUGCUAAUGCCCUAUAUGCCUUUAAUACAUAAGUAUGCAAGGGAAACGCUAGUGCUUAAGGAUGGGUCUGUAUGGUAUCAGCUUGUUGGUGAGGUAAUGGCUCACCAAGGCUAUGACGCCUAACUGGUUUGAGAGGAUGAUCAGUCACACUGGAACUGAGACACGGUCCAGACUCCUACGGGAGGCAGCAGUGGGGAAUAUUGCACAAUGGACGAAAGUCUGAUGCAGCAACGCCGCGUGGAGGAUGACACAUUUCGGUGCGUAAACUCCUUUUAUAUAGGAAGAUAAUGACGGUACUAUAUGAAUAAGCACCGGCUAACUCCGUGCCAGCCGCCGCCGUAA